AGCGAACGCUGGCGGCAGGCCUAAUACAUGCAAGUCGAACGAAGUCUUCAGACUUAGUGGCGGACGGGUGAGUAACACGUGGGAACGUGCCUUUAGGUUCGGAAUAACUCAGGGAAACUUGUGCUAAUACCGAAUGUGCCAUUCGGGGGAAAGAUUUAUCGCCUUUAGAGCGGCCCGCGUCUGAUUAGCUAGUUGGUGAGGUAAAGGCUCACCAAGGCGACGAUCAGUAGCUGGUCUGAGAGGAUGAUCAGCCACAUUGGGACUGAGACACGGCCCAAACUCCUACGGGAGGCAGCAGUGGGGAAUCUUGCGCAAUGGGCGAAAGCCUGACGCAGCCAUGCCGCGUGAAUGAUGAAGGUCUUAGGAUUGUAAAAUUCUUUCACCGGGGACGAUAAUGACGGUACCCGGAGAAGAAGCCCCGGCUAACUUCGUGCCAGCAGCCGCGGUAAAAC
rnacentral:rRNA from 1 species